rnacentral:piRNA from 6 species
CACUCUGGACUCUGAAUCCAGCGAUCCGAG